ACCGAUAGUGAACCAGUACCGUGAGGGAAAGGCGAAAAGAACCCCUAGCAGGGGAGUGAAAUAGACCCUGAAACCGGAUGCUUACAAGCAGUUGGAGCCUCUUUAUGAGGUGACAGCGUACCUUUUGUAUAAUGGGUCAGCGACUUAAUCUCAUUAGCAAGCUUAAGCCAUAUAGGUGUAGGCGAAGCGAAAGCGAGUCUGAAUAGGGCGAUUUAGUUAAUGGGAUUAGACUCGAAACCGGGUGAUCUAGUCAUGAGCAGGUUGAAAGUGAAGUAAAAUUCACCGGAGGACCGAACCCACUAGCGUUGAAAAGCUACGGGAUGACUUGUGAUUAGGGGUGAAAGGCCAACCAAACUCGGAAAUAGCUAGUUCUCCGCGAAAACUAUUUAGGUAGUGCGUCGUGUGAAUCUUAUUGGGGGUAGAGCACUGAAUGGGCUAGGGGGAAGCAAUUCCUACCAAACCUAAUCAAACUCCGAAUACCAGUAAGUCUGCACGGCAGACAGUCCAUGGGUGCUAAGGUCCUUGGACGAGAGGGAAACAGCCCAGAUCAACAGCUAAGGUCCCCAAAUAAUGAUUAAGUGUGAAAGGGAGUGGGAACUCCAAGACAGCCAGGAGGUUGGCUUAGAAGCAGCCAUCCUUUAAAGAAAGCGUAACAGCUCACUGGUCUAAUUAAGAGAUCCUGCACCGAAAAUGUAACGGGGCUCAAAUCAUUUACCGAAGCUUUGACAAUUACUUUUAGUAAUUGGGUAGCGGAGCGUUCUGUAAGCCUGUAAAGGUGAUGCGUAAGCAUUGCUGGAGGUAUCAGAAGUGCGAAUGCUGACAUGAGUAACGAUAAGAAAUGUGAAAGACAUUUCCGCCGAAAUCCUAAGGUUUCCUGCGUAAAGCUAAUCUGCGCAGGGUUAGUCGGCCCCUAAGGCGAGGGCGAAAGCCGUAGUCGAUGGGAAGCAGGUUAAUAUUCCUGCACCAGCUGGUAGUGACGGAUGAAGUAAAUUGUGAGUUCUUACUGGAUUGAACUUGCAGUGAAUUUGUCCCUGGAAAUAGCUCCAGCAUUAGACCGUACCAAAACCGACACAGGUAGGAGGGUAGAGAAUACCAAGGCGCUUGAGAGAACUAUGUUGAAGGAACUCGGCAAAUUACACUUGUAACUUCGGGAUAAAAGUGACCUGCUAUUGGGCAACCAGUAGGAGGUGGCACAGAAGAGGGGGUAGCGACUGUUUACUAAAAACAUAGCACUAUGCAAAGUCGAAAGACGACGUAUAUGGUGUGACGCCUGCCCGGUGCCGGAAGGUUAAUAGGAGGGGUGCAAGCCCUGAAUUGAAGCCCCGGUGAACGGCGGCCGUAACUAUAACGGUCCUAAGGUAGCGAAAUUCCUUGUCGGGUAAGUUCCGACCUGCACGAAUGGCGUAACGAUUUCCCCACUGUCUCCAACAUAGACUCAGUGAAAUUGAAUUCUCGGUUAAGAUGCCGAGUAACCGUGGUUAGACGGAAAGACCCCGUGCACCUUUACUGCAGCUUUGUAUUGGUAUUAGGGAACAGAUGUGUAGCAUAGGUGGGAGACUUUGAAGGAGUGGCGCUAGCCAUUCUGGAGUCACUAGUGAAAUACCACUCUUCUGUUCCUUGAUGCCUAACCAUACACCGUCAUCCGGUGUUGGGACCAUGCAUGGUGGGCAGUUUGACUGGGGCGGUCGCCUCCCAAAGAGUAACGGAGGCGCGCGAUGGUAGGCUCAGAACGCUUGGAAACCGUUCGUCGAGUGCAAUGGCAUAAGCCUGCCUGACUGCGAGACCCACAAGUCGAGCAGAGACGAAAGUCGGUCAUAGUGAUCCGGUGGCACUUCGUGGAAGGGCCAUCGCUCAACGGAUAAAAGGUACGCCGGGG
rnacentral:rRNA from 1 species